UAAGGACACGAGUAGGGAGCUCCACAGCCGCAUACGGGGAAAGAGACGAUGGCCAGGAGCAGCGGCGAGCUCCACCGCCGGCGCGCUCGAGCUCGCAUGCGUUCGGGCCUAGGCCGCCUGGCCACGAGCAGCAGUUCCACCGCGGCUCCCCUGCAGCUCCAUCCCCUGCCCCUGCACCUCGCUGCGGCGCAGCACGGGGACCCUCGACGAUGAGCUCCGCCGUCGCUGGGGCGCUCGAGCUCGCCGGUGUUCGGGCCGAGGCCUCCGGGCCAUGAGCUGCAGCCCACCGCGCUCCCCCCUGCACCUGGCUGCCGUGCAGCCCAUUGACCCUCGACGCACGCCAUUGAGCUCAUCCAUGGCCGCACGAUGCUCAAGCCGCCGCCGCUGGAGCUCCGUUGCCCUAACGUCCUAAUCGACAGCGCCGCUGGAUACAUGUCGUCUUGCCCGUCCCCGACCACGCGGGAUCACCCCUCUGCCCCGCUGCCAGAGCACAGCAGUUGCGGCGACCGCACGCAUGGAGGGAUUAGCCGCCAGCGUCCACCACUGGACUGGAGGACCCGAUUGCUUUUUUUCAGGGGUCCUUUUGCAAAAUAAAAUUGUAGCGGGAUGUAAUUGACUAUUUUUUUGCCACGUCAUCCCUCCUGGCGGGACCCACCUGUCAUAAUCGUGCUCAAAACGGCCUAAGCCGGCGACUAGUGUUUUUUGCAAAAAAUUAUGAAAAAAAUAGUGCUUUUUGGCACAAUUUCGUAAA